UACAACUUUCAGCAAUGGAUGUCUAGGUUCCCACAACGAUGAAGAACGCAGCGAAAUGCGAUACGUAAUGCGAAUUGCAAGACCUCGUGAAUCAUUAAGAUUUUGAACGCACAUUGCGCU
rnacentral:rRNA from 1 species